UGAAUACUGGGCAGUUUCAACACAAAAAUAGUCAGGUUGCUGCAUCGAAUUCAAAGAGUUCGCUGGAUCAUCCAAAAGGGGUUUAUGGAGGGGGUGGAAACCUACAACAUGUGCAUGCGAAUUGUCAAAAGGGACCUGGAGAAGUGACACAAAAUCCAACUGGUUUUCAUUUGCAAGGUCCUUCAGGGCCACAAGGAAUAUGGAAUGGUAAUUAUACUCAAAAUGUUAAUCAG
rnacentral:misc_RNA from 1 species